ACAGGUGUUAGUUGAAGAAGAUCCACCCACCAUUUUAUUAAAAUCCACUAACUCUUAAUAAGAAGCAUUCCUUCAUAAUUAAUUAUCCUACCUACUACAUCCAUCAAGAGAAACAAAAAGGCAUAGAAAGAUGCUGGCUAAAAUAUUCCUUCAAAUUAAGCCUCCACCUAUUUGAUUUUUUUAGCUACUGACUAUUUUCUUCGAGUAGAAGCUUUGUUGACUCAGAAGAUGUUUAAAAAGUUCGAAUUUGGGCAUCGAAAAAGGUUUGUGAAGUUGCAGCUUUCUUUGAAGUUAUAUGAAGUUGUAGAAAAACAGAAAUCUUUUCGAAGAAAGAAAAUUGCAAUUAUAUUUCAUCUCUAUAAUGAGAAUACUGAAGACAAUGUGGCUAUUGAAAGUUCAAAGGCUGCUGAUGAAGCUGCUGAAAUUGUUCUUAGUGAAAUUAUUCUGGCAUCAAGGGUUCACUGCAUAGUAUUCACUGAAUGAAUUGCACAGACUUGAUAUUGGCACUACCAUGGAAGAGUUGUACGAAUAUUUCCAUAAAGGUUCUCUCAUCAGCAGGGGUGCGCUCAAUAACAUUUCAUCCGGAUGGAAGAAUUGGACAUGAAGAUACGUUAAAGGUAAAGGAUUGUGAAAGAUAAUAUAAUGUAGCACUUGAAUAAGGAUAAAAAGAGUCAUUUAAAAGUGUCAAAAUGAUAUAUUGUUGAUGUAUUCAUGGGAGAUUGUUAUCUAUUAUGAUUCUGUUGAUGUGAGAUGGACAACACUUGAUGAUCUCUAUAUUAAUGCGAAACAUUUGGGAUGCUCAUACUACCAAAACUUUGUUCGAGUCGGGUAGCACAUAUAUCGGUAGGAUUAUCUUUUUUCAAGCUGUUAUUUUCAGUGGCAAUUUUGUAAGUUUUUAGGUACCAAAUUUUUUAUUUUUAAUAGAGAUUUGAGAAAUUACAUAUGUAUUUAUUAACUACUGUAUAAAAUUAAUAAACAAUUUGAUUUGAGUUCUGAAAUGAUAUUUUUUAGAAUAAUAUGACAUGUAGAGAAGAAAGGAUAAAAAUAUUUGAAUGUUAUAUCAUUUUGUUUGACUAAUUGGAUCCAACAUUAAAAUAUAUUUGUGUUUUGAAUAUGCACCCAUCAUCACAUUGUUAACGAUUCUUAAUUGAUUAGUUGGGUUUUGAUUAAUUGGAUUUAACACUAAAAUAUAUUUAUGCUCUCCUCUUUAUUAAUAAGUUCAAUUGUUUUGAGUUAACAAACUGACACUUAAUUCUAAUUUAUUUUUUGUUUUGCUCUAAUAAAAAAAUGGAAGUUUGAACUUAUAUUUCAGUAAUAAGCUUCAAUGUAUAGUUAUAUGCAUAUCAUUCUGGACUUACUUCAAAGUGCUAACAUCGACAAAUUGGGAGAGAUUUGAGCCCUUAUACUAAAUCCAAUCAUUAUGAGGUCGUGAAUAUUAUAUGCUCCACUUUUAAUAUACUUUUUCUUUUAAUAUUUAAAGUGAAAAUCUGUUAUGGCCCUUGGUAAUUUUGCAGGAACUUUUCAUAUUUUUCUGAUUAGAGGACUUGCGAGAGAUAGUAAAAUUCAAGAAGAUAGUGUUCUAGAGGCUGAAGUUGAGAUAUUCAUGAAGAUUUAAGAUCCAAUUCAUAGAUUUGAUUAUAAGUUGAUUUUUUAAUUCAUGAAGACUAAAGUAUCUUGUUGGGAGCAACCUCUAUGAUGGAUGACCCAGAUUGAGUUCUGUUAAUCAGCUUGAGCAUAUGAUAUCCACCACCACAGUUGGGAUAUUUCAGGAAGUGUGCUAUUGAUGGGUUUCAUAAAGCAUCAUAAAGCAAUUAAGUGAACCAUGAACUAAUGAAUUUUCUGUUCUUAUAAUUGAUGUACUAUAGUUUAAUAGACCAAUAAAAUGUAAUUGUAACUAAAAAUAUAGGUCACUUAGUAGCUUCAUGAAUAAACCGCUGUUGUAAUCCAUCCUAAUAAAUUAUUAGUUGAAAUAUCAUAUAAGUAUAGCCUGAGUUUCUUUUUUUUAAGAAA